rnacentral:lncRNA from 1 species
CUACACCCUGCAAGGUCAUUAUCAUUAGCUGCACUUUACAGGAGAGGAAGCUGAGGCUCAGAGAACAAACUGCCCUCCUACUUAUGUUGAAGACUUUCCCAUCCUAUGAGCCCAGGUGGGAGAAGCUGAAAAUGGCAGAAGGUCACUUUUCCAGCUGCCCUGUGCCUGGUGAUCCUGUGACACAGACCCCAUUGCUCACGUAUCCACCCAGUUUGGUGCCAUAGGUGGUACACUUCAGGGCCAAGGAGUUUGAAGAAGUCCAAGGUAGAGCUUUCUGGAAAAUCCUCUGGAAAGGUUGAUCAGAAACCUUCUCCCACAUAAACAAAGGACCCAGGAAGAAGCUAAAAAUGGGCCAUGAGAUUGUCUUUAUUCAUCUAGCCUGAAGUUUUCUGACUCUAUCUUUCUUUUCCCGUGGCCACUGUUACCUCUCCAGACCAGACCCCAUCACCUGAAUUCUGCCUGAGCCUCGACAGAUAUGUUCAGCUGCUCUCCCAUGCUGGCUGUUGUUACCCCAACCCACUUAAAACUCCUUGAGGUCUUAGAAGCUCUCUCCCACCAAGGUGCCCAAAGAAGUGUUUCACAGGUUCUCAGUGACAAUUGUUUAUUGAAAUUUACACUGAUGAGAAGUGGUCCCUAUUAAGGGAAUUCAAUCCAAGGAGAUUGGGGGUUCAGCCAUGGAUGGUGAUUUAAGAUGAGCUCCACUGAAUUAACGCUGUACCCCCAGGCUUGUGGGCCACUUUGAAGGGGUUAAUUGUUCGGGGAAUCUUGGCCGGUGAUUUUAGAAGGUAAGAACCACCCCAUAUCAAAGUUAACAAUGACUAGGGGAAAAGGCUAUUAUCAGUGUAAGCAUGUAUUAAAUGAGCUACUUGGCAACCAUAACACCUUUCACUGCCUCAUAUCUC